rnacentral:rRNA from 1 species
UACGGGGGGGGCAAGCGUUGUUCGGAAUCACUGGGCGUAAAGGGCGCGUAGGCGGGAAGCCAAGUCGGUCGUGAAAUCUCCGGGCUCAACCCGGAGGAGUCGGCCGAAACUGGUUUUCUUGAGGGAGGCAGAGGAGUCUGGAAUUCCCGGUGUAGCGGUGAAAUGUGUAGAGAUCGGGAGGAACACCGGUGGCGAAGGCGGGACUCUGGGCCUACCCUGACGCUGAGGCGCGAAGGCGUGGGGAGCAAACGGG